AGAAGGGACUCGCUCGCGCGGGCAUCGUAUGCGUCUCAUGCGUGCGCGUUCGCGGCCAGCACGGGAUGCAUACGUCCUGUCGUAGGGGACACGAGGCUCGGCCUAUGCGUGCUUCCCAUCAUGCUUAGACGGGUGCAAUUCGUGCGCGUCUCAUCUAGCACCGACAAGUACAGUACGUGUACAUCCCAUCGCGCCCCGACAGGCACAGUUCCCGCGUGUCCUAUCUCGCACCGACAGGCACGGCUCUGUGUGUCCUAUGCACGCGCUAUUUGUGCAUUAGGCCCGCGCGGGAGGUUUGAACGUAGCAUCCCAUGCACUGUAGGUCAUACGUGCAUGGCAAGCUAGGCCUGCAGCGUGUGGCCGAUUAUGGCAAUGUGCUACUACCCCGAGUUGUGCCCACUACCCCCUUGGGCGCCGCGCAU
rnacentral:lncRNA from 1 species